UCCAGGGCUUGUUAGGGUGCAUUAGCCAGAGCUAAUUAGCAGUGAGAUCGUUGCUGUGGCUCAGAGGGUUUCAUAGGGCGGCUCUUCGUGGCUUCAGCAUGGGUGCAAACCAAGGGAUGACGCGAAUAGCGAUCCUGACAGUUGUGUUUUCAUCAGGGAGCUGCUGUGAUCCUCUCGUUGGAAUGCCGUGAAUAUGAUGUGGUUCUGUCUUCCUUGUUGCUACUUUUUGGCGGGGAAAUGAUGUGUGAAUUCGGAGAAGGAAGCAGAGGAGGGCCCCCAUUCCCAGCCCAGCAUCCACAGAAGUGGAAGGGAAAUGGCAGUGAGGCCUCAUGUGGCAGGUGGUUUUCCAAAGCUAACUACAAAGCUGUUGCCACGCCUAUGGUCUUCUGUGAACUUGCCACCCAGUGAUGGUGGAGGUUCUGCGUGGUGGAAUCCGACUCCAUGGAGCAUCGGAAUAUGGUGAAAAGUCACUCCGUUCCUCGUGUGGA
rnacentral:lncRNA from 1 species